rnacentral:rRNA from 1 species
GAGUUUGAUCGUGGCUCAGGGCGAACGCUGGCGGCGUGCCUAAUACAUGCAAGUCGAGCGAGGGUUUUCGGACCCUAGCGGCGGACGGGUGAGUAACACGUAGGCAACCUGCCUCUCAGACCGGGAUAACAUAGGGAAACUUAUGGCUAAUACCGGAUAGGUUUUUGGAUUGCAUGAUCCGAAAAGAAAAGAUGGCUUUUUGCUAUCACUGGGAGAUGGGCCUGCGGCGCAUUAGCUAGUUGGUGGGUAACGGCCUACCAAGGCGACGAUGCGUAGCCGACCUGAGAGGGUGACCGGCCACACUGGGACUGAGACACGGCCAGACUCCUACGGGAGGCAGCAGUAGGGAAGUUUUUCACAAUGGACGAAAGUCUGAUGGAGCAACGCCGCGUGAACGAUGAAGGUCUUCGGAUUGUAAAGUUCUGUUGUCAGGGACGAACACGUACCGUUCGAACAGGGCGGUACCUUGACGGUACCUGACGAGAAAGCCACGGCUAACUACGUGCCAGCAGCCGCAGU